UUCCAGACUCCUACGGGAGGCAGCAGUGGGGAAUAUUGCACAAUGGGGGAAACCCUGAUGCAGCGACGCCGCGUGAGCGAUGAAGUAUUUCGGUAUGUAAAGCUCUAUCAGCAGGGAAGAAAAUGACGGUACCUGACUAAGAAGCCCCGGCUAACUACGUGCCAGCAGCCGCGGUAAUACGUAGGGGGCAAGCGUUAUCCGGAUUUACUGGGUGUAAAGGGAGCGUAGACGGCUGUGCAAGCCAGAUGUGAAAGCCCGGGGCUCAACCCCGGGACUGCAUUUGGAACUGUGUGGCUGGAGUGUCGGAGAGGCAGGCGGAAUUCCUAGUGUAGCGGUGAAAUGCGUAGAUAUUAGGAGGAACACCAGUGGCGAAGGCGGCUUACUGGACUGUAACUGACGUUGAGGCUCGAAAGCGUGGGGAGCAAACAGGAUUAGAUACCCUUGUAG
rnacentral:rRNA from 1 species